CUGAAGGACCAGUCCUCCUAUUUUUCUCCAAGUGCUCAGAAACUCGUUCAGAAGCCUCUUCUUUCAUCCGAAUCCUUGUACUGCUGGUUAUGUGCUGGCUUUUGUGAUCACGUUGGCAUGUCUUGUUUUCUCCACAGUUGCAGGACGAUUUAGUCCGUCCCUGAGAGGAGAAGGUAGAUGAGAUGUCUGGAACUUCAAAAUUUUAUUGGUGAACAAGCAGAGAAAGGCUGAGAUAGCAUGGAUUGUGAUCACCUAGAACAACAACUUGGUUUUGUAGAGCAUCAGGUCCAGCAAUUCAGAACCAAUUGAAUGAGCUAAACAGGAAUGGGCAGUUCCUCUAGUACAGAAAUAUCAUCCGGAAGUUGCAUUAGUGUUGCUGCCGAAACAAGUAGGAUGAAGCCCAGGAUGUCCCCUCAUGAUCACGAUUCGUAUCCUAACAGCAAGCUUUUCGAAGCAGAGUUUGAAGAAAAGGAAACUACCACUAUUCGGCCAGAAAAGAAGAAAGACGAUGUGUAGAUUAAAUCAGGCAACUGUCCCUUGUGGAAACCUGGAAUGAUUCGCUUUCAUUGAUGAGAUCGACUACAUCAGCCAGCUGUUGCCGCCAAAAUAAAUCCACCAUCGAUCCAAGAGUUCACCUUGA